rnacentral:rRNA from 1 species
UACGUAGGAGGCAAGCGUUGUCCGGAAUUACUGGGCGUAAAGCGCGUGUAGGUGGUGGGACAAGUCUGCUGUGAAAGCGCCUGGCUUAACCGGGCGAGGUCGGCGGAAACUGUCGCACUCGAGGACAGUAGAGGGGGGUGGAAUUCCCGGUGUAGUGGUGAAAUGCGUAGAGAUCGGGAGGAACACCUGUGGCGAAGGCGGCCCCCUGGGCCGGCCCUGACACUGAGAGACGAAAGCUAGGGGAGCGAAUGGG